UCGUGCUAGACGGGGAGCUAGCGGUGCCCUGUACCCGCAAUCCGCUAUAGCGGGGUUGAAUUCCCACCCGAGGUGCAGCCCCCUCGGGCCUGACUCACCGCGAGGGGUGUUGAUGGCUGGGUCCCGCGCAACGUCGGCCCAUGAACCCCGCCAGGUCCGGAAGGAAGCAACGGUAAGUGGUUUCCGGUGGGUGCCGCGAGAUCGCCUGGUCGGAGCCUGACGCGAUGGGUGCCGCCGGGAGGACUGUAU
rnacentral:SRP_RNA from 1 species